rnacentral:rRNA from 1 species
AGUGAACGCUGGCGGUAGGCCUAACACAUGCAAGUCGAACGGCAGCACAGUAGGAGCUUGCUCUUACGGGUGGCGAGUGGCGGACGGGUGGGGAAUACAUCGGAAUCUACUUUUUCGUGGGGGAUAACGUAGGGAAACUUACGCUAAUACCGCAUACGACCUACGGGUGAAAGCAGGGGAUCUUCGGACCUUGCGCGAUUGAAUGAGCCGAUGUCGGAUUAGCUAGUUGGCGGGGUAAAGGCCCACCAAGGCGACGAUCCGUAGCUGGUCUGAGAGGAUGAUCAGCCACACUGGAACUGAGACACGGUCCAGACUCCUACGGGAGGCAGCAGUGGGGAAUAUUGGACAAAGGGCGCAAGCCUGAUCCAGCCAUACCGCGUGGGUGAAGAAGGCCUUCGGGUUGUAAAGCCCUUUUGUUGGGAAAGAAAAGCAGCAGGUUAAUACCCCGCUGUUCUGACGGUACCCAAAGAAUAAGCACCGGCUAACUUCGUG